rnacentral:rRNA from 1 species
GAUGAACGCUAGCGGCAGGCUUAAUACAUGCAAGUCGAGGGGUAGCAAGAUUGUAGCAAUACAAUUGUUGACGACCGGCAAACGGGUGCGGAACACGUACACAACCUUCCUACAAGUGGGGAAUAGCCCAGAGAAAUUUGGAUUAAUACCCCGUAACAUAGCGAUGUGGCAUCACAUUGCUAUUAUAGCUUCGGCGCUUGUUGAUGGGUGUGCGGCUGAUUAGAUAGUUGGCGGGGUAACGGCCCACCAAGUCUACGAUUAGUAGCUGAUGUGAGAGCAUGAUCAGCCACACGGGCACUGAGACACGGGCCCGACUCCUACGGGAGGCAGCAGUAAGGAAGAUUGGACAAUGGACGCAAGUCUGAUCCAGCCAUGCCGCGUGAAGGAUUAAGGUCCUCUGGAUUGUAAACUUCUUUUAUAAGGGACGAAAAAAGGUCUUUCUAGAUCGUCUGACGGUACCUUAUGAAUAAGCACCGGCUAACUCCGUGCCAGCAGCCGCAGUAAAAC